GAUAGCUUAGUUGGUAGAGCAUGAGACUCUUAAUCUCAGGGCCGUGGGUUCAAAAUAUUCCCGCACUGCA